rnacentral:lncRNA from 1 species
GCUCCGGGCUCCGGCACAGAGGGACCGGCGCUGCCCCAACCGCCAACUCCAGCAUCCGCCACCGUCGGUGCCACGGUGACCAGCCCUGCUGGGAAACGGGGCACCGAGCCUCCCCGGGGAGGGUGGCCGGGGGGCAGCCGGGCGAUGGUGACGGCAGCCGUGCCGCCCCGCUCCUCCCCACGGGCACCCGGUGGGAGCCCACGCGCCGGGUCCCUCCUCACAAGCCCUCCUGGGCUCCGCCGUCACCCCAGCCUUCGAGGGGGGGGACAGGUCAGUCCCAAACAACCGCCCCACGGCCACCGGGAGCUCUCCCAGCCCCACGGCUCCGCGCCAGCCCCGUGCCACUGGCUCCACGCCCCCCCCAGCCAUCGGCACCCCAACCAGAUGCUCUGCCACGAGCCAGCCCGGCCACCCCAGGGCUACCUCCCCACGUCACCGGUGGCCCUGGCUGCCGGGCGCCAUCCAGCACAGGCGGCGGUGACGUGACCUAGAAAAAGCCAAGGGUUGUUCACACACACGCUGCGCUGCCAUGAGCCCCCGGCGCCCACCACACGGGCACACGCGGGGCACACGCACCCUGCACGCCGGCCACGGGCAAAACCUCCCCCUGCUUCAACAAGUGACCUGCGUGGGCACACGCGUGGGGACACGUGGCACCGUGAACCCCAAGGCUCCUGGGUCCCCCGGGAUGGCAAGCAGCUCCCCCCCCCACCGCCCCGCUCCGGCUGCCACCUGCACGCCGCACGUGCCCGCACCGGCACACGCUGGGCGCCCACGUGUGCCCUCGCUUGCACGCCCACGGUCCCCGGGUGCUGCUGCUCGCCCCAGCGGGAUGGCCGUGGCAUGGGGGGGGGGAUGUCCCCCCACAGCCCUCCACGCUGGCACCGAACAAAGCCCCCACGCAGGGGGAGAGCUGCGAAACCACCCGCCUGCUGCCGGGGCGCUGCCAACACGCCUGCCCACGCCGCCCGGUGCCUGCCGGUCCCCCGGGGCCCUGGCCAGGGGUGACGGACGGCGUGGGGACCCCAACCCGCCCUGCACCCACGCGUGGCGGGCUGGGGGCACACGUGUGCCCGGUACCGGGGGCUGGCAGAGAUGCCAGCAGGCAGCCUGGCACCCGCGGCCUCGCUGUAUGACACACCGCGGCGCUACACGUGUGUGCCCAGCCACACGCGUGUGCCCACCGACACGCGUGCAGCCCUUCCACCCUGGGGCUGCCGGAGCCCCCGGCACCGCUGGAGAGGAGGGGGGACCCGCACCCCCGGGGAGGGGGAUGAGCACGCCGGGGGGUACGGGCAGCCCCCGGAGAAGGGGACCGGCAUCCCGGGGAGGGGACCGGCAGCCCCGGAGGAGGGGAGCGGCAGCCCCCGGUCACGCCGCCGCUCUCAGCCCAGCCCCGGUUCCGAGCCCGCCCCGCCGCCGCCGCAGCCCCGCGCAACUUCCAGGCAGGGCCGCCCCGGGGACGCCGCUUCCCGCACCGGCCACCGAGCACCGGCCAACCCCCGGUACCGCGGCUGCAAACUCCCCGGCCCCGCAACCCCGCCGCCGGAGCAGAAAUCAGGGACAGGAGGGAAUCACCGAGGUGGCAGCUCCUCCCUGCUUGGCCCUGGAUGAGGAUUCAGGGAAGAGAGCGAGUCCAGCUCCCGGCCAGGGGGAUGUGGGGGUGCUGCAACCAGCCCCCGACCUCCCAUAG